GAUGAACGCUGGCGGCGUGCUUAACACAUGCAAGUCGAAGGGUGAAGCAGGAGCUUGCUCUUGUGGAUCAGUGGCGAACGGGUGAGUAAAACGUGAGCAACCUGCCCCUGAAUCUGGGAUAAGCGCUGGAAACGGCGUCUAAGACUGGAUAUGUGAGGUGACCGCAUGGUCUGGAUCUGGAAAGAAUUUCGGUUGGGGAUGGGCUCGCGGCCUAUCAGCUUGUUGGGGAGGUAAUGGCUCACCAAGGCGUCGACGGGUAGCCGGGCUGAGAGGGUGACCGGCCAGACUGGGACUGAGACACGGCCCAGACUCCUACGGGAGGCAGCAGUGGGGAAUAUUGCACAAUGGGCGGAAGCCUGAUGCAGCAACGCCGCGUGAGGGAUGACGGCCUUCGGGUUGUAAACCUCUUUUAGCAGGGAAGAAGCGAAAGUGACGGUACCUGCAGAAAAAGCACCGGCUAACUACGUGCCAGCAGCCGCCGUAA
rnacentral:rRNA from 1 species